rnacentral:rRNA from 1 species
GGAGGGUGCGAGCGUUAAUCGGAAUUACUGGGCGUAAAGCGCGCGUAGGCGGCUAGGUCAGUCGGAUGUGAAAGCCCCGGGCUUAACCUGGGAAUUGCAUUCGAAACUGCCUGGCUAGAGUAUGGGAGAGGGAAGCGGAAUUUCCGGUGUAGCGGUGAAAUGCGUAGAUAUCGGAAGGAACACCAGUGGCGAAGGCGGCUUCCUGGCCCAAUACUGACGCUCAGGUGCGAAAGCGUGGGUAGCGAACAGGGAUUAGAUACCCUGGUAGUCCACGCCGUAAACGAUGAGAACUAGAUGUCGGGAGGAUUUACCUUUCGGUGUCGCAGCUAACGCAUUAAGUUCUCCGCCUGGGGAGUACGCCGGCAACGGUA